rnacentral:rRNA from 1 species
UACGUAGGGUGCGAGCGUUGUCCGGAAUUAUUGGGCGUAAAGAGCUCGUAGGCGGUUUGUUGCGUCGGCCGUGAAAACUAGCAGCUUAACUGCUGGCUUGCGGUCGAUACGGGCAGACUUGAGUUCGGUAGGGGAGACUGGAAUUCCUGGUGUAGCGGUGAAAUGCGCAGAUAUCAGGAGGAACACCGGUGGCGAAGGCGGGUCUCUGGGCCGAUACUGACGCUGAGGAGCGAAAGCGUGGGGAGCGAACAGG